UGGGGAAUAUUGCACAAUGGGCGCAAGCCUGAUGCAGCCAUGCCGCGUGUGUGAAGAAGGCCUUCGGGCUGUAAAGCACUUUCAGCGAGGAGGAAGGGUAGUGUGUUAAUAGCACAUUGCAUUGACGUUACUCGCAGAAGAAGCACCGGCUAACUCCGUGCCAGCAGCCGCGGUAAUACGGAGGGUGCAAGCGUUAAUCGGAAUUACUGGGCGUAAAGCGCACGCAGGCGGUUUGUUAAGUCAGAUGUGAAAUCCCCGCGCUUAACGUGGGAACUGCAUUUGAAACUGGCAAGCUAGAGUCUUGUAGAGGGGGGUAGAAUUCCAGGUGUAGCGGUGAAAUGCGUAGAGAUCUGGAGGAAUACCGGUGGCGAAGGCGGCCCCCUGGACAAAGACUGACGCUCAGGUGCGAAUGCGUGGGGAGCAAACA
rnacentral:rRNA from 1 species